UUGGUACUUCCUCCGUCCGGAAUUAUUUGUCAUAGAAAUAGAUGCAUCUAGACAUAUUUUAGUUUUGAAUACAUUUAUUUCUUUUUAUUUUGGUGACAAAUAAUUCCGGAUAAAGGGGGUACAUA
rfam:Hordeum vulgare subsp. vulgare, WGS project CAJW01000000 data, contig: morex_contig_1578898